ACUGUGAAGCAUCCUGUUAAGUCAGGCAACGAGCGAGACCCACGUCCACAGUUGCCAGCAUACCUCCGGGGUGAUGGGUACACUGUGGAGACCGCCGCUGCUAAAGCGGAGGAAGGAGUGGGCAACGGUAGGUCAGUAUGCCCCGAAUCUCCCGGGCUACACGCGGGCUACAAUGGUUGGUACAAUGGGCAUCUACCCCGAAAGGGGAAGGAAAUCUCUUAAAGCCAAUCGUAGUUCGGAUUGAGGGCUGCAACUCGCCCUCAUGAAGCUGGAAUCCGUAGUAAUCGCGUUUCAACAGAACGCGGUGAAUACGUCCCUGCUCCUU
rnacentral:rRNA from 1 species